GAAAGAAAAAGGAAAGAAAAAAAAAACAAAACUUACAAAAGAACGACAUUCAAACGGUGCUUCACCACCGUUCACCCUCUUCAUCAUCUUCACCCUCUUCACCAUUUUCUUCUCUCAAAAUUCUUCCUUCAUCACACAAUCACCAUCGUUGCCAACGUCACAACCACACCGCCACUAGAGGUGACACCAUAGAAGUAGGCGGCGCACGGAAGAAAAGGGGGUCGUUGUUGCUGUAAUUUGGAGCAUUUGGUGCUCGAAUUAGGGGCGUUUGCAAGUUAUUUCUCAUCCCCAAUCAUCUAUAUUAGUGGAUUCCGGUUUCAUUGAGGAGCCGUAUUGACUGAGCUAGUUGGUUUGAUAUAGUUUAAAAGGUAAGAUUCCUUACUUAAAUCUUUAAUAGUUACAAGAAAGGUAUACAAAAGAUGAGAUUUCAACUAAAAUUUUCAUAUUUACGAGAAACGAUUAUAAAGGUAUGUAUCACUCUUGAGUUGAGAUUGGUUUGAAUAGGAGGAUGUUCCUCCUAAUACGGAUAGUUUGUUUUCAAACCUUGAAUUAUAAAAUAGUUACAGAAAAGAUUUAUGGAUAGUUUUAUGCUUUUUAAACUGGUUGGGAUUGCCUUUAUGGUGUCUUAAGGAAUUGGAACUUUGUCGGGAUCGUCUCGACAUUACAGAAUAGUUGGGGGGUACGUUGAUCAGUACCUCAGACUUAGAUCUUCCGCUACGGUUUGACCGUUUGUGGGGUGUGCACACUAGGGGUCUUUGUCUAAUAGUUACCCGGAGGGCCUAGCUAGCCCAAUGGGAAAUAAAGUUUGUUCCAUUCCAUAGAUUUAUUAUUCUAAGAUUAUGAAAGAAACGGUUUUAGCACAGAAAAUAGAAAAGUAUUUGGUUUGGAAAAGAAAUGAAGAAAAAUGUUUUACAAUGCUUUAUUUAGUAUUGGGAUUGCAAAAGCGAAUGAUUUGUAGGAUAUAAUUAAUGCAUCCUACCUGCAUAUGUAUUUGGCUUUACAGUAUUGAAUCUUGCUCAGCCUGUUUGGCUGAUACUACAUGCUUGAUAUAUGCAGGUACAUGAAGGCUUAGAGUCGGGGUAUGGGCGGAGAGCAACGUCCACUAGUUUUGCGUAAAUAUAAUUAUAAUAGUUCUGUUAUGGUGCAUUUCUUAUAUAUAAUCAAUAUUUUGAGACUUAGGGUUGUAAAUAUUAAUCCACCUAAAUCUGUAUUCGGCUGGGUUGUAAUAGUUUAAAAUAAGCUUUAAUUUAGUUUUGGUGCAGGUAGUUCUUCCUUAGCGAUUAUUCUCGUAAUAAUCGUGGAAUAACACGUUUGGAUUUCGAGUAUUUAUACCGGAAUUUUAUUGGUAUUUGAAUGGGUGGAGUUGUUGGGAAUUUGGAAUUUGGAUUGCUGAUUUGUUGAAACAGGUUUAAAAUUCGGACGCGAGUCCUAAAUUAAAUUUUAGGCAGUCCAUUUUUCAAACAGAACUCUGCCGAAUUUUCUAUAGAAUUUUAAUAUUAUUUAAUUGAAUUAAUCACUCGAAAUUCAGGGGUGUUAUAAUGUGGGAGUUGGCUGAUGAGGUCUAUGAGAGUUUAGGUUGCUCAUUGAGAACCACACAUGACAUUUCUUGUUCAUGCGUCAUACGCAGACACUUCGAGGCGAAGCAGGGUCUGUACCUGACAAACUUACAUCCUUAUUAGACUACUUUGAUCCUUGGUGAUGGGGUGAACAACCCUGAUUUUGUAUCUGAGGCAGUACAUGAUUCUCAAUACUUCUUAGAGUUAGUUGACCAGGUUCAAAAUAGUGAUCCUGCCAUCUUGCGGAGUGUUACACGGAUUUUAGAGGAUCAUCUACGUAUUCCCGGUUGCUCAGCUUUUGAACCUGAUGUCGUUGAGAACCCCAAAGGAAGACCACGAAAGAACUAUCCAAGUACAAAGCGCAACAAGAGUGGUGUUGAGUACACAUCUCGUGGGUCGUUAAGGAAAGGUAGCACAUUGGUAGGUUCAAUUAUGAGCAUGUUAACCUCUAUAGGUUAGUAAAGCGUGGAUAAUGAUGACAGUUCUAGUGGAUUUCCAUUUCUCAAGUCUGUUCCAGGGAUUAUUACUCAGUACAUCAUUAGAUGGACGAAUGUUAAGGCAGACAGUAACUGUGGAUUUCGAUCUAUUGCAGAUGCUUUUUCGAGAGGUGAAAACCAUUGGGGUUUUGUCUGCACUAGUAUGGCAAAUGAGAUUGCUGCUCAUCGGGAACUUUACAGACUUGUAUACUAUGAUUAGAUUGAUGCAGCAAUAAAGCGCAUUACCUGGAGAGGAGGAGCGUUAACUGACGCUCAUUUGGAUGAUAUGUGCGCAGGACUUGUUUCUUAUUACUCAUAUCUUCAACGCCGUAGUCAUUUUGGUUGGACUGGGGGCAGGGGGAAGCCUUUAUCCGUGUGUCACUAUACUUCGUUAGGAAUCCCGAUCAGCUGAAACCGGUCCGACAAGGGAACUAGUGAUUGCUCAUCUUUGCAGUUAUCAGCAUUAUCUCAGAUUGGAUUUGGCACCCUGAUCACCCAUACCACCAAUUCAUAACUUAUGGCAUAACAUGCAUGAUGAUAGUGUUGAUGGAUUGGAUAAAUUGUAUGAUGUGAGAUGCGCUCACUACCUAGUAUAUCUUAUUUUUCUCCUAUAUUAUAGUUUUGUAACUUUAUGACUUAUUUGUUGUAAUGAUUAUUAUAAUGAUAUUUAUAUUAUGAUAUGAUGACCAAUCUAUUAGUAUAA